CUUCCUCCUCCACCUCAGCCGCUACUGCAGCAUUAGAGCCCGGUGUCUCCUGGAUGGAUCCGUGAAGAAAGCCACCCCUCCUACCCCGCACGCCAUGAUGGGCCGCGAGCUGUUAAAUGCGUCGUUGUGUUGAUAUUGAGAUAUUUCAGUUAUCAAAUAUGAAUCAUGCAUUUGAUAUUUCUGGCCACUUCGCUCGUCAGCGUCCUUACGCCUUGGCUCCAUCCAUCAGUAGCAUCAUCCGUUACUCAAGGAGUAGAGGACAAGGUUGAGAGGGAUGCAGUGACAGCACUGCUGAAGCAACAGGCAACUGCAGCACCUUCAACAGAUAACACAACGCACCAUGCAGUAGAGCAAGUGAUCACCUACCCCUCUCGGUUAAUCUACUACCUAAAUGAGGACUCGGAGAGCACCUACCAUGACCUGAACACUCAGGCCAAGAACCAAGCCACAGAGAGCCAGACAGUCCACCUCGCCCAAGCAAGUUUCCAAUUGGAGGCAUUUGGGUCCAGAUUUAUUUUGGAUCUAACACUGAACAAUGAUUUGCUGUCUUCAGAUUAUGUUGAGAUCCACUAUGAAAAUGGGAAACCUGUUCUGUCAAAGGGCGGUGAGCACUGUUACUACCAUGGCCAGGUGAGAGGGAGCGAUAACUCCCACGUGGCCUUAUCUACCUGCAACGGGUUGCACGGGAUGUUUGAUGAUGGAGUCCAUGCGUACCUAAUUGAGCCCUUACACCAGACUCAUUCAAUUGAUACAGCUGCAAGGCCACACAAGCUUAAAAGAACAGCCUCCAUUCUGUGGAACAAUGAUUCAGAGGAACUGGAGGAGGAGCAGCAGCUCCUCUCUGAGCUGGAUGAGUUAUCCUGGCUGAAGCGCAGGAAAAAGCGAGCAAUGCCCCGCAAUGUAUUUGAAGAGAUGAAGUAUUUGGAAAUCAUGAUUGUCAUUGACCACAAUAUGUAUAAACGACACAAGAGUGCGCAACACAACAAACAUUUUGCCAAGUCAGUGGUGAAUUUUGUGGAUAGUAUCUUCAAAGACCAGCUGCAUACACGUGUGGUGCUCGUUGGUGUGGAGAUCUGGACAGAAAAGGAUCACAUCCCCAUAAGUCUGAAGCCUCUGGAAAUGCUGCAAGAUUUUUCCAAGUACCGACAGCAAAACAUCAAGGUUCAUGCUGAUUCUGUUCAGCUCCUUUCAAAUGUGACCUUCCACUACCGCAGAAGCAGCAUGGCAUACUUUGGAGGCAUGUGCUCUGUGAGCCGUGGAGUCGGGGUCAAUGAGUAUGGCACCACCUGGUCCAUGGUAGGGUCUCUAUCCCAGAGCCUGGCACAGAACCUGGGCAUCCAGUGGGACCCAGCAUCCAAGAGAAAGGAAUGUGGAUGUGCUCAACAGUGGAUUGGCUGCAUAAUGGAGGACACUGGUGUCCAGUACUCACAGAGAUUCUCCAAAUGUAGCAUCUCAGACUACAAAGAGUUCCUUUUAAAAGGCGGAGGCUCAUGUCUGUUUAACAAGCCAAACAAGCUGUUUGAAGCAGCGCAUUGUGGGAAUGGAUUUGUAGAAGUGGGAGAGGAGUGCGACUGUGGACUGAGAGGAGACUGCUACAAGGAAUGCUGCAAGAAGUGUUCCCUCGCCAAUGGGGCACACUGCAGCGAUGGUCCCUGCUGCAAUAACACAUGCUUGUUCUACCCACGAGGUUACAGCUGCCGCUAUGCUGUGAACGAUUGUGACAUCUCAGAGACCUGCUCUGGAGACUCUGGACAGUGUCCCCCCAAUCUGCAUAAACAAGAUGGUUACCUCUGCCAGGUAAACCAGGGCCGCUGCUACAAUGGAGAAUGCAAGACUAGGGAGAACCAGUGUAAAUACCUCUGGGGCUCAAAGGCUGGAGGUUCAGAAAAGUUCUGCUAUGAGAAGCUGAACACAGAAGGAACAGAGAAGGGAAACUGUGGAAAGGAUGGAGACAGAUGGAUCCAGUGUAGCAAACACGAUGUGUUCUGUGGUUAUCUUCUGUGUACCAACGUGGGGCGAAUCCCACGCAUUGGAAUGAUGAAAGGAGACGUUACUCCCACUUCCUUCAAUCACCAAGGCAACGUGAUACAGUGCACUGGUGCCCAUGUCCUUUUGGAUGAUGACUCCGAUUUAGGCUACGUGGAGGAUGGGACUCCCUGUGGGCCGUCAAUGAUGUGCCUUGACCGCAAGUGUCUGCCCAUCCAGUCACUCAACAUGAGCACCUGCCCCAUUGGACAGAAUGGGCAGGUGUGCUCUGCCCAUGGGGUGUGCAACAAUGAAGCCACAUGCACCUGUGACACCACCUGGGCGGGGACAGACUGCAGUAUGCCUGACCCGCCUAAAGAGCCUGAUGUCACUGCAGAUGAAGAACCCAAGGGUCCUAGUGCCACCAAUCUAAUAAUAGGCUCCAUCGCCGGAGCCAUCCUUGUGGCUGCCAUAGUGCUGGGGGGGACUGGAUGGGGCUUUAAGUAAGCAACACGCCGCAUGCCUCUCCUGCUGUAACUCUAGCAUCCCUGCUGCUUCUAGACACCAGGGUUUGAGCUUCUGCUGCGGAAAUUGGACCCCAGGGUGGACAGCAUACAAAGAAAAAAGCAUGUUACACUGAGACGCAUGUGAAAAAAGCAUAUGCUUAGGAGAAAUGCAUUCCUGUUUUUUUAUUUUUAUUUUUUUUUUUUUUUUAUAAAGAAGAAUGUGGAUGAAAUUCGGGAUUUAUUUAAGUGUAAUUUUAUGUUUGUUUGUUUUUUUUUAAGGAUGCUGGAUAGGUCUGUGCAUCUGUAGCAGAACCUCAAACUGAUUAGACGGGCAGAGCUUAGUGCUUGACGUGCAUGUUCAGAGAGCAAUUAGAUAACUGAGACUCUUAAAAAAAUAAAUAAAUAAAAAAAAUAAAGCAGUGGGGAUGUUCCACAAUGUUGUCAACUUUUACUUUAAAGAAAUUCUGUUGGUUGCUUGAAUGAUAAAAAUCAUAUUCCCCUCUGAAAUUUUAAAGAUAGAACUUAUGAGAUCUCUAAAUAGCAAGAAAAUGUACUUUAAGGUCCAGUUUUUCUGCUCAUUAACCUGCUGUCUUCAGCAGCAGGGGUGUUAUCUUCUAAUAGACGUAAGGACUAAAUGAGAAAUAUAAUCCUGCAGCCACCAAAGCAUGCCAGAUAUUAAAGCAUCAUGGUUUUUUCCACCUAAACAGGGCACAAAUAAGGAAAGAAAACAGAUGAAGAACCAAAACAUUUUUUGCAUGCUGACUUGUUGAUUUGGAGGAGGUCAGUUCAUUGCACAAAGGCUGAGAAAACCCACAGCGAUUUGGUCCGGAGUUGUCGUCCUCUCAUCACUUCCAUGAUCUUUCUCUCAAUCCGUUACUGUUUGAGGCUGAGCCUUUAAAUGGAGUGGUGAUAGCGACAGCAGAGAGACACACAGAGAGCAGCCAGGACCUUUUUGUUGCCUGCAGCCUUUGUGCCAUGGCUGGCACCCACCUGGAUGGCCAGGCUCCGCCCUAGAGCAGAGCAGGACUCUCGGACCCGCCCACACCAGCUGCCAUUGCUGCCUGCUUCACAGACCUGAAAUGUGAAGAAACGCCGAUACGACCCCAAUGCACAGGCCAUUUAACCCAAGAAGAGAUGGCAAUUGCAGAAGGACUCCUCCAAGGCUUCCUUAGUUGGCUACCCAACAGCUGGACUGCACUUAUUGCUGCUGAUCUUUGGCAUUAGAUUUACUUGAAAAAGACAUAGUGGACAUUUUAACAAAUUCCAUUGUAGUGACAUUAUAAAUGCAGCCUUUUCAACUCCACCUCACCCACGUAACACCCUGCCCCUCCACCCUGAGCUCUAUAGAGUGACAGAGCUCCUCUUCCAUCCUUUAGUGCCAGUGCACAGGCGUUCAGGCGGAGUCCACACCAUCUUCUCACCUGGCAUGAUUAUCCGCACAAAGCUGCUUGCUGGCCCCCCAUGGCAUGAAGAGCUCUCUCUGCAGGGCUCGGCAUGGCUACCAAAGCUCUGAAUAUACUGCAAAAACCGUACAAUGUAAAAAAAAAAUAAAAAAAUACACGCACACAAUAAAAAAAAAUUAUCCAGUGCAGGAGACAGUCUCACUAAAAACCAAACCAGUGAAAAGCCAGUUAAAGCGCCUAUUGUUCGUGUUUAGGUGCUGCAUGUGAGGACUCAUCAGGACAGUGCACACUCAGUAAAUGCACCCACACAAAACUGUACAUAAACAAGCAGUUCAGAUUGGAAUUGACAGCAUAUUUUACAGGACAUCGACUGCUUUUGUUUUCUAUCUUAGCAUGUUGUAUAGCAGGUGUUUUUUGGCACAGAUACUUUAAAAGAAUGCAACUGGGGUUUGGGCCAAAAUGAUUGAUGCUACUUAGAUUCAUGACAGAGCAGCUGUGGUGUCGAGGAGAAGCAUGUCGGUUCUAGAGGGAUCCAGAUCGGGAUCUCAUCCGACAAGAUCUCCCCAUGAAGUAUCUCCAAUGGUGACUCAAAAGCCAAAGAACCAAUCACCUGAACAUAUGGAUGUUGUUGCACACAGAGCACUUUCCCCCUCUGUCUGCAGCCAGUGGUGCCUCCUGUACUGCUGAGGGCAUGAAGUCUGUCCAUGCAGGCACUCGCCUGUACAGCCAGGUCUUUCUUAACAGUCCUCAUCAGCACCCACUAUACUGGCUUAAGCCUUUUGCUCUCAUAAACUCUUAGUAGAAAUCAAGUUCAGCUCUUCUGGUAACGCUGCAUGCAAUCACUAUAGUGGGCUUAUAAUUCUAUAUGGGAGUCCCCAAAAUCUGCAAGACAAAUAUGCUACAAAAGAUAGGUGCAUGUCAACAACAAAAACAUUUUACUUUUAUUUACUAUGCAAAGAGAGAUAUUGCACAAAAGUAUGGGUAAUAGUGGUAUCAAUGUAGACAUGGAAUUACAAAAACCUCUGCUGAUCAGCUAAUCUUUUUGUAUUUGGCCACUCCCACAUCUCCUUUCAUUUCGCUUCAAACUCUGGACGGUCAUAUGAAUAAAAAAGAUAUUUAAAAAAAUUCCAAUGAAAAGCAAGAGAGCACACUUUUACAUUUGUGGAACUGAAAAUCAUUUUUGUGUGUUUUUCAUCCAGUUUAACAUUUUUAAUCUCACACACAAACACACACACACUGUAUGGUGCCUGUACAUAUUGAGGCCUGAACAGUUUCCUUGUGCAGGGCUAUCAUUUCCAAUCCAGCUGAUAGUUGGUGUGUUCCUGGUGCUGCCAUAGCACUGGCAUUGUUGUAAUCCUCCAUGUUGUUCAUUGUCUGGUGUCCCUCUCUCACUGCAUCAUGUACAGUUGAAUCCAUUAAUAAAUAAAUUUUAUCUGA